rnacentral:rRNA from 1 species
UACGUAGGUGGCAAGCGUUGUCCGGAAUUAUUGGGCGUAAAGCGCGCGCAGGCGGUCCUUUAAGUCUGAUGUGAAAGCCCACGGCUCAACCGUGGAGGGUCAUUGGAAACUGGGGGACUUGAGUGCAGAAGAGGAGAGUGGAAUUCCACGUGUAGCGGUGAAAUGCGUAGAGAUGUGGAGGAACACCAGUGGCGAAGGCGACUCUCUGGUCUGUAGCUGACGCUGAGGCGCGAAAGCGUGGGGAGCAAACAGG